rnacentral:rRNA from 4 species
CAACGGAUCUCUUGGUUCUCGCAUCGAUGAAGAACGUAGCAAAGUGCGAUAACUAGUGUGAAUUGCAUAUUCAGUGAAUCAUCGAGUCUUUGAACGCAUCUUGCGCUCAUUGGUAUUCCAAUGAGCACGCCUGUUUCAGUAUCA